GACUUCAGAAACACGCCAACUUCUGUCGGAGUAAGAGGACAAAACCCGUUCCUCCUUUGCUCUGUUCCAUUUAUCUUCUUAACCUUCCAAUGAGGUGUAUUUUCCCUGCAUGUUUUGUCACUGUUGCGUUAGCCUGCAAUAUAAUCUAUUUAGUGUUGUCUGGAAUAUGAUACAAGCACAAUUGCUCCGAAGAGUGCAAUCAACACCAAAUAGACUGACGAGUGAACUUAUCCUUGUUAAAACCACAGAUAUUGCACGAACUGCCAGUAAAUUUGACAAAAGGUGCGCGAAUACACUAAACUGAAGCGACAUACUUUCACCAGCUGCAUAGAGGGAUAGUACCUUAUAGUGGUAAGCUCUUGGGCUUCUUCUGUGGAUAAUUGAUACGUGCAGCCGCUAAAGGCCAGCAUGUCUUUUUCAUACCGCAGAUGUAAUGCGAUGUAAGGUCCUGCCGAUCUCAGUCUUUCCACUAUCACCUGCUCACACAAUGAGCGAGACGAAACCCUAAAUGACCAAUGGGAAUUAUGCCGAACCUCCAGAGUGGUAUGUUUUUCCCAUUCAUUUCAAGUACAUUACAUGUUCUUGUAUAAGACCAACUAGUGAAUGAA
rnacentral:lncRNA from 1 species